GUUUAGUUUUCACAAAUAAUGAAAUACUUCAACUUUUGGCACAUCAGCACCACAUUAUCAUCAGUAUCAGGACCUGGAAAAGAUUGUGCAAGAAACUGCAUUUAUUCCGAAGAAAGAACCACAAGCACCUGCUGGGGAAACUGCCUCUUUUGAGGAAAAGGAAAUUACUUUUUAAGUUAUGACUCUAUUCUCGUAAUAUUACGACUUUUUUCUCGUAAUAUUAUGACUUUAUUCUCAAAAUCAAGAGUUUAUUCUCGUAAUAAUAUG